UCUUGUUCUUAUAGAUGGCUUUAUUCGACUUAUUUUCUAUCUUUAAAACAUUAUGACUCACAUCAAGAAGAGAUAUCGGGAUCUUAUCUUAUUUGCUGUACUAAAUUGCAUUUGAACAAUCAUAUUAGGAUUAAAAAUGUGCACACUUACUCGUUGAAUCGUUUCCAUAAAGUCGGUGAGCGCCUCCUUAUUGGGAAAGUAGAAGCCUACGCAACAACUAGGAUCCAUUUUUGAGAGCAACAUCUUUCUUGGCGACGUGCAAUGGAAGCUUGUCAAUGAAAAAUCAUUUUUCCACACAUCUACGGUCUCCUGUAUGACCAAUAAAAUAGAGCGAGUGUCGCGGUCUACCGCCAAUCACGCCGAUGCACGUAUCCAAGGUUAGCAACGAUGUUAGACAGGGUGCGUAGACGGGAUUCAACUUGUCAGCGCCAAGUCGUAGAGGCACCAAUAGCACCAGCGCCUUCCAUUUACCAUCAGGAGUGCGACAAAUAUUCUCGACGUCUUGUAGAUACACUGGAAAAUGUUUAAUUUAAUCUAUUUUCUUGAUUAAUGCCAACCUGCACAAUCCUGAGCAACGUAUACCGCCAAGUGAUCGAAGUUGCUAUUGGAUUGCUUGCUGGCGCAUUCCACAGCUUGACUCAAGAGAUGCGCGACCGAGGAAGGGCCAUACCAGUCACCCGCGCGUUUUCCCGCAGAGGC